GGAGCCAUGGCUCAGAGGAAGAUCCUCUGCUUGGCAUCCAGAAGGACACAGGGUUCAAUUCCCAGUGUCUCCA
rnacentral:tRNA from 1 species